CCUACGGGAGGCAGCAGUGAGGAAUAUUGGUCAAUGGACGAGAGUCUGAACCAGCCAAGUAGCGUGAAGGAUGACUGCCCUAUGGGUUGUAAACUUCUUUUAUAUGGGAAUAAAAUGUUCCACGUGUGGGAUUUUGUAUGUACCAUAUGAAUAAGGAUCGGCUAACUCCGUGCCAGCAGCCGCGGUAAUACGGAGGAUCCGAGCGUUAUCCGGAUGUAUUGGGUUUAAAGGGAGCGUAGGUGGAUUGUUAAGUUAGUUGUGAAAGUUUGCGGCUCAACCGUAAAAUUGCAGUUGAAACUGGCAGUCUUGAGUACAGUAGAGGUGGGCGGAAUUCGUGGUGUAGCGGUGAAAUGCUUAGAUAUCACGAAGAACUCCGAUUGCGAAGGCAGCUCACUGGACUGCAACUGACACUGAGGCUCGAAAGUGUGGGUAUCAAACAGGAUUAGAUACCCCAGUAGUC
rnacentral:rRNA from 1 species